rnacentral:rRNA from 1 species
GAUGAACGCUGGCGGCGUGCCUAAUACAUGCAAGUCGAGCGAACGGACGAGAAGCUUGCUUCUCUGAUGUUAGCGGCGGACGGGUGAGUAACACGUGGAUAACCUACCUAUAAGACUGGGAUAACUUCGGGAAACCGGAGCUAAUACCGGAUAAUAUUUUGAACCGCAUGGUUCAAAAGUGAAAGGCGGUCUUGCUGUCACUUAUAGAUGGAUCCGCGCUGCAUUAGCUAGUUGGUAAGGUAACGGCUUACCAAGGCAACGAUGCAUAGCCGACCUGAGAGGGUGAUCGGCCACGCUGGAACUGAGACACGGUCCAGACUCCUACGGGAGGCAGCAGUAGGGAAUCUUCCGCAAUGGGCGAAAGCCUGACGGAGCAACGCCGCGUGAGUGAUGAAGGUCUUCGGAUCGUAAAACUCUGUUAUUAGGGAAGAACAUAUGUGUAAGUAACUGUGCACAUCUUGACGGUACCUAAUCAGAAAGCCACGGCUAACUACGUG